UCGAGCGAUGGAUUAAGAGCUUGCUCUUAUGAAGUUAGCGGCGGACGGGUGAGUAACACGUGGGUAACCUGCCCAUAAGACUGGGAUAACUCCGGGAAACCGGGGCUAAUACCGGAUAACAUUUUGAACUGCAUGGUUCGAAAUUGAAAGGCGGCUUCGGCUGUCACUUAUGGAUGGACCCGCGUCGCAUUAGCUAGUUGGUGAGGUAACGGCUCACCAGGGGAACGAUGCGUAGCCGACCUGAGAGGGUGAUCGGCCACACUGGGACUGAGACACGGCCCAGACUCCUACGGGAGGCAGCAGUAGGGAAUCUUCCGCAAUGGACGAAAGUCUGACGGAGCAACGCCGCGUGAGUGAUGAAGGCUUUCGGGUCGUAAAACUCUGUUGUUAGGGAAGAACAAGUGCUAGUUGAAUAAGCUGGCACCUUGACGGUACCUAACCAGAAAGCCACGGCUAACUACGUGCCAGCAGCCGCGGUAAUACGUAGGUGGCAAGCGUUAUCCGGAAUUAUUGGGCGUAAAGCGCGCGCAGGUGGUUUCUUAAGUCUGAUGUGAAAGCCCACGGCUCAACCGUGGAGGGUCAUUGGAAACUGGGAGACUUGAGUGCAGAAGAGGAAAGUGGAAUUCCAUGUGUAGCGGUGAAAUGCGUAGAGAUAU
rnacentral:rRNA from 1 species